AUACUUGCCUGAUUGGGAAGAGACCAUCAUUGUGAAGGUGGUUUUGCCAGGAUGAGGCUUAGCCAUUAUAUUCUAGAUGUUCUGACCUCUGUGAUGUCUCCAAAUGUGGUAAACUCAACUAUAUAAUCUAUGCUAGCAGAUGACUGUGUUCAUCCUGUCCCCUG
ensembl:snRNA U1 U1 spliceosomal RNA